UACGGAGGGUGCAAGCGUUAUCCGGAUUCACUGGGUUUAAAGGGUGCGUAGGUGGGCAGGUAAGUCAGUGGUGAAAUCUCUGGGCUUAACCCGGAAACUGCCGUGGAUACUAUUUGCCUUGAAUAUUGUGGAGGUGAGCGGAAUAUGUCAUGUAGCGGUGAAAUGCUUAGAUAUGACAUAGAACACCAAUUGCGAAGGCAGCUCACUACACAAUCAAUUGACGCUGAGGCACGAAAGCGUGGGGAUCAAACAG
rnacentral:rRNA from 1 species